rnacentral:rRNA from 1 species
AGAAUCAACGCUGGCGGCGUGCCUAACACAUGCAAGUCGCACGAGAAAGUGGAGCAAUCCAUGAGUAAAGUGGCGCACGGGUGAAUAACACGUGAAUAAUCUACCUCCGAGUGGGGAAUAACUGAGAGAAAUCUUAGCUAAUACCGCAUAAUACCCACGGGUCAAAGCAGCAAUGCGCUUGGAGAGGAGUUCGCGGCCGAUUAGUUAGUUGGCGGGGUAAUGGCCCACCAAGACGAUGAUCGGUA